UGCGCUGCGGUGUUGUACUAAGAUGCUACAUGCAGGACACCGGCCAGUCUUGCUGAGGAAGCCGCUUCUGUGAUCACAGAGUCGAACAGAAAGGUAACACUGAGUGGCUGCUUUUAACA